rnacentral:pre_miRNA from 1 species
UGACCAUGACAUCAUUGCCGUGAGUAUUACAUCAGGUACUGAGGAAUGUCUCGGUCAGUACCUUCUGUCAUAUUCUAAGUGAUGACGUCUUUCCCAGCACC